AAGAAUCUGGAGACAGGUGCUGCAUGGCUGUCGUCAGCUCGUGUCGUGAGAUGUUGGGUUAAGUCCCGCAACGAGCGCAACCCUUGCCUUUAGUUGCCAGCAGUUCGGCUGGGCGACUCUAAAGGGACUGCCGGUGUUAAACCGGAGGAAGUGGGGAUGACGUCAAGUCCUCAUGGCCUUUAUGACCAGGGCUACACACGUACUACAAUGGCCGAUACAAAGGGCAGCGACACUGCGAGGUGAAGCCAAUCCCGUAAAAUCGGUCUCAGUCCGGAUUGGAGUCUGCAACUCGACUCCAUGAAGUUGGAAUCGCUAGUAAUCGUGGAUCAGCAUGCCACGGUGAAUACGUUCCCGGGCCUU
rnacentral:rRNA from 1 species